rnacentral:rRNA from 1 species
UACGUAGGGGGCAAGCGUUGUCCGGAUUUAUUGGGCGUAAAGAGCGCGCAGGCGGUCGUCCAAGUCGCGUGUGAAAGCCCCCGGCUCAACUGGGGAGGGUCACGCGAUACUGAUCGACUCGAAGGCAGGAGAGGGAAGCGGAAUUCCUGGUGUAGCGGUGAAAUGCGCAGAUAUCAGGAGGAACACCGAUGGCGAAGGCAGCUCGCUGGGACGGUACUGACGCUGAGGCGCGAAAGCGUGGGGAGCAAACAGG